rnacentral:rRNA from 1 species
GAUGAACGCUGGCGGCGUGCCUAAUACAUGCAAGUCGAGCGAACAGACGAGGAGCUUGCUCCUCUGACGUUAGCGGCGGACGGGUGAGUAACACGUGGAUAACCUACCUAUAAGACUGGGAUAACUUCGGGAAACCGGAGCUAAUACCGGAUAAUAUAUUGAACCGCAUGGUUCAAUAGUGAAAGACGGUUUUGCUGUCACUUAUAGAUGGAUCCGCGCUGCAUUAGCUAGUUGGUAAGGUAACGGCUUACCAAGGCAACGAUGCGUAGCCGACCUGAGAGGGUGAUCGGCCACACUGGAACUGAGACACGGUCCAGACUCCUACGGGAGGCAGCAGUAGGGAAUCUUCCGCAAUGGGCGAAAGCCUGACGGAGCAACGCCGCGUGAGUGAUGAAGGUCUUCGGAUCGUAAAACUCUGUUAUUAGGGAAGAACAAAUGUGUAAGUAACUAUGCACGUCUUGACGGUACCUAAUCAGAAAGCCACGGCUAACUACGUGC